CCGAGAGCAGACCUGGGAGGACCUGUGUGGCUGAGCAGACCUGGGAGGACCUGUCUGGCCGAGUGGACCCGGGAGGAUCUCCGUGGCUGAGAACGGACCGCUUUGAGUGGACAGUGCUACUGGACCUGGGAGAGGGCGACCAUGUGGACAGUGUGGACACAUGGAAAUGCAGGUGGGUGAUCAUCGUGGAGAAAAACCAGAACAUGUGGGACAGUCCAUCCGUCACAGCCUCAGAAAGAACCCGCCCCGCAGACGCCGCAACCUCACCUGCCCCGCAGAUGCCGUGACCUCUGAUGCACAGCUUCCAGAGCUGAGAGAGAAUUCAUUUCCACUGUUUACCUGUAGAGAUGGAGUCUUGCCACCUUGCCCAGGCUGGUGUAUGCAUUUUAAUAAAGCUGUUUUUAAAACACAAAGGAGCAGUAAAUAGAAUGAUGUAGAGGGUUUCUUGCCCAUUCUACCUCAACUCCAGAAGGCCACGUUCUUGCUCCUGGACAGUCAUAAAAGUGAGGAAUGGCAGGAAUUCUGUCUGCAAAGGAGGGACUCUCCCAGCUUCACCCGACACGGCACUGCCGGCCGGCUACAGAGCCACACACGCACAGCACGUGGAAGAGCUGGUGAGGACGGCGCGGUCCCGUGGCUCUGCUGCUGGCCUUUCACAGGGCGCUUCUCACGCACACAUCCACCCUUUCUCCUCGGGAGCAUUCACUCUGCCGGUGCCAGGCCCAGGGCUGUCCAGGCAGGGGCUCCACACUCCUCCAAAUGUUCACU
rnacentral:lncRNA from 1 species